AAAAGUGCCUCCUCCACCCCAUCCCCAACAACAUUUUUAAAAGCUGGAAAAGAAAAUCAGAGAGCGAUUUUGAUCCCACAGAGCAAAAAGCUCCACAGCUUGAGUCCUCCCUGCUCCAGCUGACCACUAGAAGUUUUCCUCCUCCUUCCCUGUCCCUCUUUCCUUUAAUGCUAUGCCUUUUAGGCACCCAAGCUCCCAGACGUAGCCUGCCCCUUGCUCUUUUCACCGGGAGAAGCAGUGAAAUAAAUCAAGCCCACAUCCGCUAGGAAGGACCCAAAACUUUGCUCCUGGGUUCUCCCAAAGUCGAUGAGAGAAUUUGGAGAAAGCCCAGCUGAAGCCACCAGAGAAAUUCCAGUUGAUGGAAUUCCACCACCAACAUCAUCACGUUGAAACCCUGGAUGAAGUUGAGAAGCCCGCUCCCGAAACCUCGACGCACACCAGCGACAAAAGAGCUCACAAAUACGAUACUUACUGCGUUCCUCCUGGAGACAAAAGAUAGCAGCUGAGCAACUUUCCAGAUGGUUUCAAGGGACUGGAAAACUCAAGAGAUAAUGAUCAGUUGGUGGCACAUACCAGACAAGGUUGCUCAGAAACUCAAAUCUUUGUCUGUUGAACCCUUCCCGUGAUCCUAGGCUCAACCUCCAAUGUCUUUC